GAUGAACGCUGGCGGCGUGCCUAAUACAUGCAAGUCGAGCGAACGGACGAGAAGCUUGCUUUUCUGAUGUUAGCGACGGACGGGUGAGUAACACGUGGAUAACCUACCUAUAAGACUGGGAUAACUUCGGGAAACCGGAGCUAAUACCGGAUAAUAUUUUGAACCGCAUGGUUCAAAAGUGAAAGACGGUCUUGCUGUCACUUAUAGAUGGAUCCGCGCUGCAUUAGCUAGUUGGUAAGGUAACGGCUUACCAAGGCAACGAUGCAUAGCCGACCUGAGAGGGUGAUCGGCCACACUGGAACUGAGACACGGUCCAGACUCCUACGGGAGGCAGCAGUAGGGAAUCUUCCGCAAUGGGCGAAAGCCUGACGGAGCAACGCCGCGUGAGUGAUGAAGGUCUUCGGAUCGUAAAACUCUGUUAUUAGGGAAGAACAUAUGUGUAAGUAACUGUGCACAUCUUGACGGUACCUAAUCAGAAAGCCACGGCUAACUACGUG
rnacentral:rRNA from 1 species